AGCGAACGCUGGCGGCAGGCUUAACACAUGCAAGUCAAGCGGGCACUUCGGUGUCAGCGGCAGACGGGUGAGUAACACGUGGGAACGUACCCUUUGGUUCGGAAUAACGCUGGGAAACUAGCGCUAAUACCGGAUACGCCCUUUUGGGGAAAGGCUUGCUGCCGAAGGAUCGGCCCGCGUCUGAUUAGCUAGUUGGUGGGGUAAUGGCCUACCAAGGCGACGAUCAGUAGCUGGUCUGAGAGGAUGAUCAGCCACACUGGGACUGAGACACGGCCCAGACUCCUACGGGAGGCAGCAGUGGGGAAUAUUGGACAAUGGGCGCAAGCCUGAUCCAGCCAUGCCGCGUGAGUGAUGAAGGCCUUAGGGUUGUAAAGCUCUUUUGUCCGGGACGAUAAUGACGGUACCGGAAGAAUAAGCCCCGGCUAACUUCGU
rnacentral:rRNA from 1 species